AGGGGCAAAAGGUGACUAGGUCACUUCUACUCCACCUGCUUCUGUUGUUGUUUCUUUUAAAUCCUCUUAAAUGGACUUUUAAGUGUGAACUUUGCAACCACGUCCUGGCCACAGAACAACCUCAGAGGCAGCUGCAGCCUGUUCAAAGAGAUGGGCUCGUUGGGAACCCCGGCUCCCGAUUUCUGUUCACAAGCUCUCACUAAGCUGGCAACAGGCGGUUCGUGCCAGUGUUAACUGUGUGCCUCGUGAGUGCGUUCCUUUACCCAAAGGAUACAAUGAGAAGUUAGGAGUCUGCACCCUAGAAGAGGGCUCUUACCAGAACCGGACCAUGCUGGCACCCUGAUCUUGGACCUCCAGCCUCCAGACCUGUGUGAAAGCCCCCGCUCACCAGCCUGCCUUCGCUUGACAAAUGAUGAAGAUAAUGAAAGUGAAGGUGCAGAGCGGAACGGCCAAGACAGUCUGGGCACGUCUCUCAUCACCACCUGUUUGUCUGCAUUCCUAGGUCCUUCUGUUUGAGACUCUACUGAGAGGCUUCAGGCUGCACUGUGCACAACCUCUUACGGUCAGGCCCUGCAAGCUUAUGCUGCUUCACCUUCCCUUUGCAUACCGUGGAGGAAAAAUCAUAAUGCUCACUGUGGGCCAAAGCCUUUGUUAUGCUCAGGGCUUCGGAAGAUUGGAUUACUACAACACUACGGAAGAGAAAACUGAGGUUCACAGAGGCUAGCAACUCUCCAAGGCCCCACAGCAGAUAUCUCAUCUAGUCGGAACUUGCUCCUAGGCCUGUCUGGCUCUCAGCUGCCACACCACGCUGCCUCCCUUGAGGAAAGGAUGGUUGAUGUGGGAUAUGUUGGAACAAUGCAGCCUCCUGAAAUCAGCUUUGCCUUUAAAGACAGAAGUGACAGGGGCCAAAGAGUGCACAGGACUGGCUGGACAGGGUUAGGAGUCACAUGUGUCAGGUCCUAGUUGGACUGGACCACUCCCUGACCACAAGAGCUCUAGACAACCACUGGAACUUUCUGAGCUCACGUCCUCAUCUGGAAAUGGAGCAAACACCCUCUGCCCUUUCCACUUUACAGGAUGAUUCUGAAGGAGGUUUGUGGACUGAAAAGUACUUUAUGACUGUAAGGGCUUCCUGGAUGAGACAUUUUCAAAAAAGAGCUGUGAUUACAGGAGUAACGUAGGCAUAUUUUGUUUUCUUAUGAUAGGUCCCUGAUGUGUUUUUAGAUAUGUUAAACUUUCACAGAGUCUCAUCUUCAAAAACACAGUCCUGUAAGAUCCUAGGCUUUUUUAUGUCUGAGUUAUAACGAAUAAAUGAACACCAAUCCUUGUAGCGGGCAGAAGCAACUUCCUUGAAAGUCUUCUCGUGGUGGGUGUUCUGGCUCAAACGCUUCCCAGUCUGGUUAGAUAAAAAAAAUUUAGUAUGACCUUCUUUUGUAUUGUUUAUUGGCCAAUACGUUUCAUGCCUCAUUUGCCCUCAAAUUCACAUUUUUAUUCACCAGAGUAUUUGCUCUGCCUUUGUGUGUGCGUGUGUGUGUGUAUGCCUGUGCGUGUGUGUGCUCAUGUGCUCACUACACAGUCACAGAAAACCUUUGCACCUUAAACACUAGCCAGAUGAUAGGAUAUUUAUUUUUUAUUUUGCCAAACUAUGUGAUUUCUAUGCAUUGUUUUAAAACCAAAAGAGGAAAAGAAAAACGUUUAAGAAUUUUGCUUCAAAUGAGCAGCCUCUGACAUGCCUAAGAUGGCGAGGGUCAGUUUCUACUCCAUGCAAACCUUUUAAUUACAUGCAGCCUGAAUCGGGGCGGCCAUCUCUGACCUGGAGCCUCAGACCCAGUGUCCUGCCCUCUGAUGGCUGCCAUCCACCAGUGCCCAUCCUUGACGUGAGUCCCUAAUUCUGUCGUGCCCUCCCAGCAGGCGAGGGGGCUGGAGCCGGGCUGGUUUCCUUGCAAUUAAUGAACAGCAAGAGCGCAUAAUUAGGAAACUCCUAAGGAGGACUCCCCUUAUAGCGAGUGGCGAGUUCAGCUUCUCUCCCUCCUCUUGCCAGUUCCCAUCCCUACAGUCACAUCUCAUCGAGUUUGGGAAUUUUAUCAUUUUUAUUGGGACUCUUUUUCCUAGAGUUUAUUUUUACACUGCCAGAAGCUUUUUCAAAUUUUAACCUCGGGAGUGGAUCAUUAAGUUAAUCACACUUCUCUUGUUUUGUCUGUUCCUUCAUCCCCCUCUCUGAUUCCCUUGCAUGCCUUCACAGGUAACCAUUUCCACGUGUUUCUCCCGUGUGUGCGUGAGAGAGAGAUACUGUGAUCUUGUAAGUGGCCAGGAGCUUUCAUCACUGAUUCCUCCUCUGCACCGACUCGCUCAGGAGCCCUCAGUUCACCUUGGAUGUGUUUUUGUUCUGUGGCAAGAGAAUCACAUGUGUAUACACACGCGUCUGCCAUUUUCACCAGGAAAUGUGACCGGAGUUCUUAAAAAUUCUGUCUCAAUGAGUUUUUACUCAUCUCUCCUGAGAACUCACCCACCUGAUAGAAUUUUAAGCUUUAAAAGGUACUUCCUGUGAUUAUUCACUCAUUGAGGCAGAGGAGACUGAUGCCAAGAUGUGAUGGAACUGGGAGGUGGAGGGAACUGAGUGACGGUAGAUGAGGCUGGGAGAUGAGCCACCUGGGUCUGACACUAAGUCAGUUACUAGGCCCUUGAGCAAAUUUAUAAACCAAUCAAAGCCUCAGUUUUUUAGUCUGUGAAAUGGACUUAGUAUCUGCAUGUUAAUGUGGAGUUACAGUUAACGAAAUAAUGUAUUGACAAGCGCCAAGGUCAAUGCCUGGCGUGCACAAAAAGUCCAGUAGGUGUUGGUUGAAUCAGAGCAUCUUUCUUUGGAGUAAUUUGAAGUUCCCUGCUGAACUCAGGAGGAAGGCAGAGGUGCCAGGAGCAGCCAUGGGCCUGUUCAGAGCUAGCUAACAGAGAGAGGGCAGGUUGACCAAAAGAAGACAUAGGCUGACAGAACAGCAACCAGGGCGACUGCAUUCACUUCGUGAGCCCGACUUCACUCUCUGCAUUUGAGAGAAAAUCACUACUGCACACCGUUCUUGUAGGACUGAACUGUGAUGACAUUCACUAAGGUAAAAACACAGUGCCUGGCUUUUACUGUGCGUUCAGUCAGUUUUGCAAAGGAUGAUAGUUUCGGUGAUUAUCAGGAGCCCAAUAUAACCUUUUUGGAUAAUAGACAGUACAUACAUCUACGGCAUCAUAGAGAUUGUUGGCUUCUCUAGAUGACACUGAAAAUGGUUCACAGUCUUACCCCCUGCCUCUUACUGUGGCUUUGUACACUUUGGUGCUAAAGGUCUUUUAGGCUGGACGAAAUCCCCAGACUUCUUAGCAUGGGUGAGAAGUUGCUUGUGUAUACUCUGCAACAAGAAAAGGGAAUGGAACGAGGUUGGGAGAGCCCAUGAGGGAGGCUAUUCAGAGCUUUGCCUUACCACCUCCCAGAAACCUUACCACACUUCUUUGCUAGAUUCAGAUGCAAAAUAAAGUUGUUAAAUGGAACAGGAAAAUGUCCUCAUCAUUUUUUGCGCUGAAGUCCAUGAUAUUUACCUUCAGAUCUGGAUACACGGAAGGCCGCCUCCUCAGCUGCUAAUGGGAGUCAUGCUGGAGGGACAGCGAGCAGCCGCCUCUGACAUUUAGAGAACUAGACCAGAUGCUUUUAGUAUAUUAAAAUCAGAUUUUUGAUUUAUAUUUAUGUAUGUUAUUAUCCUCUUUUUUCCUCUUAAUUUUGUUCUUUGUAUUUAUACAGCUGCAUUGUGCUCUGACCACGGUCACUGUGAUUAGCAAUAUUUAUUUAAAAUUAGGGAAUAUUUGGCUGUGAUUUCAUUUCCCCCUAUUUUCAGCUGCCAUCGAGUCAAAGGCCCUAGUGAUGUAGGCGGCCCAGGAAGAGGAUUGAACCCACGAGCGCUUGCUCAUUUGAGUAAGACUCUGCUCUCUAUUACUACUUCAAAAAGCGAACUUCCUGUUCUCUAGGGUUUGUGUCUGCAGGUGUGGAGGUAGCCUUUCUCCCUGCCCACUCCUUCACCCAGGGCAAGGACAGCCAUCACCAAACCCUUGAAGUCUUCAGAAACUCCAUCGUGGGAGGGGUGGGUCUUCUCCUGCUAGUCCACCCAUUCUGAUAAAGAAUUUCAAGGAAGAGCUUUCCCUGCUGCCUUUCCAGGGUCAGAUGACACUUGAGCGUCACGAGUGAGGUCUUAUCAUCUCCAAGGUGACAAGUUGGGAUGAAAUAUUCACCGGGCAGCUUUUGGAUGGCUUUCUAAUCACUUCUGGCUUGACACUUUGGAAAAUUAAAAAAUAAGAGGAGUUUCUUUUCAGGUUGAACAUUUACAGCCUUGCCAAAUUAUCCUGUUUCUGCUUCUGGCUUCCAAUAACAGCAGGCUUUGAUGUCAAAUGUCCACAGCGUGCUUGGGGCAUGAGUGUGGUCUGUCUCCUGUGACCAGGGGUCCCUGAGGCCCCCGGGUGGACUCUCUGAGACCUGGGCACAGGGCUCCCUUUGCGCUUCUUUCCUUUGGGGCAAUGAUUAGGUAUGUGGGUGAAUCAAUUUGGGCUGCUAGCCUGGGGUUGUUAAAAAGCAGGUGUUGAUCAUGGGAGUAAUUACCAAGGACUGCAUACCCCAAAUGAUUUACAAUCUGAGAUCUAAAGCAAAAAAUGAGUUCUCACACCUCAGAUCUGCUGCUUCGCUCCUUCUGCCUCAAACGUGCUGCCGAUGAUGAAUGCACCUCAAGUGCCUCACCUGCCGGGAGGCGUUCUGCCGCCUGGCCGGCCGUCAGGUAUCUCUCAUGAUCUACACAUAUGGCAGGCGCCACGUACUAAAUCCACACAAAGGGCCAUCCCCACCCUUCCCCAGCUCACAGUUUAUAAUGCUCAGUCUGAAAUGACCUUUAAAAAGCCAGAUAAUAUUUUAUUUACCUUUUUUCUUCCAUUUACUGUUAAAUGUUAAUGAAGGUAAGAGAUUCAAAUUCCUGCUAAUAAAACACUUUAAUUGACUCAAGUGUAACCAUAACUGUAAAUUGGCUACUUUGUACGAACGACCUUAGCGCUCCCUGCCCCCGACUCUCCCGCCCGUGCAAUUUUGGAAGUUGGCAGCAAACACAGGCUUUGUUCUUCCUGGGCUUCAUGCGCAGCCCCCCAACUCUCUGCUCCAAGACAGGCAAGCAGGAGCCACUUUGGAGCUCUCCUUUCUGUGGCAUUAACUACCCUUCACCCCUCCCACAGGCUCCCUCUAUUGAAAUCCUUCAGAUUCAAGGCCCAUUGUAAGCACCACCUCCUCCAGGAAGCCCAGUUCCCUCUCAUCUGCCUCCAAAGAGCCACAGCAUUUUGAGACUUUCCUUGUGAUGGUUCUCACUUUGCCUUUUGUUAUAGUAACUUCUGCAGCUGUCUUAUCUCCUUACUUGUUAGAAACCCGAUGCAUGGUCAGUGCUCAGCAAUAUCUAUUAAGUUGAAUUAACUGAUUUUUCUUCAAAAGAUUGGCACCUGAGCUAACAUCUGUUGCCAAUCUUCUUCUUCUCCCCAGAGCGCACCCAGUACAUAGUUGUAUAUUCUAGUUGUAGGUCCUUCUGGUUGUGGCAUGUGGGACGCUGCCUCAGCAUGGCCUGAUGAGCGGUGCCAUGUCUGCACCAGGAUCCGAACUGGUGAAACCCUGAGCCGCCGAAGCGGAGCGUGUGAACUUAACCACUCGGCCACUGGGCGGCCCCCCAGAAAAAAAUUUUUGUUGCCCUGUGCCAUACCAAUUCUCUAGGGCAUUCGCAAAACCAUUUAUUAAAUGCUCUUUGCCUGGAUUUCUUAGGCAAGUCCGCUCACUAUUCAAAACUUGUAAUAACUUGCUGCUUUAGAGAAAGAAUUUCAAAAAAGAAGAAAAUCUACACCUUGUAGUUAAAAAAAAAAAGUGAGAGGAGCCUCUGUAUGAUCUUAUGCAGGCUGAUGUGGUGUGGUCAGAGAAAGAACAGGCCAGGGGUUCUCUUUCUCUGGCUGCACCUCUAAGGGCAGAGGCUGCAAGCUUAGCUAUUCCUUUGCUCAGCGGAGCUCUGGUGGACCGCGCCCUCCCAGCACGUCAUCUGGACCAUAGUUGGGUGCGUCUGCAAUCCUCUUCCAACUCCAGACAGCUGCUGCUUUGAGGUGGUAGAUGGUCCGGCUCCUGGACAGCAGCAUCUGUCUCCAGUGAGCUCUGGGCUGCUGGUGGAAGAGGUGGCUUCAGCCAACGACAGUAUCUGAAGGAGACAGAAGAGCAGAGAGAUUAAGACAAUGGCCAUAUAGUUGCUGUGUGAUCUUGAAAUUUCUGAGGAAGCUGUUGCAAAUGGCUUGGGGGCUGUUCCUAAAAUAGAUUUGAGAGAUGAAAAAAUGAGAGAAUGCAUAGACAAUCUGAGACAAAUGAUCAGCUCUGAUACCGACACUGAGAUUGUAAGAUGACUGCUGUGCCUUGCCAGAAAUGAAUAUUCAGGACGCCCCUGCUGGGUGCCUUUUCCUAUUUGAACCAACUACUCUUUGGGCCAUGAUUCACUUGUUAGCAAAUUAAACACUCUUUGCACACAGCAGAGCAACUUUACGAAGUCGGAUUUUGAAGUGCAAACAUCUUUUCUGCUCUGGCCACGGAACCUGUCACAAUCUUCAUCGGGAACUGAAUUAAGUUUAAAAUAUCAUCAGAGGGUGUUGAUCUCUCUUGGGCCUGGAGCUGUCCUCUGUACAUCCGGCAUUUUUCUGUUGACACUGCAUAUCACUUAGCAACAGGCCUGAAAGGCCCUAUAUGCAUUGAUUGCACACUAUUGUCUUUAAAGGGUGGAAGUGUUAACUGAAUAAACCCCCCGGGUGACCGCACGGUCAUUCCUCUCAAGUUGAUAAUGUGUUUACAUCAAAAUAUUGUUUAUUCCAUUCUCUGAUCUCCUGAUUUUUGCAUCUCUGGCUGAAGGAAUACAGUUAAUUCCCUACAUGGUGGAGAACCCAAAUCUACUCUCCUGACACGGACCGAUGAGAAUGGUUUUCUUCCUACUUCUCCUGAUAAAGCAUUAAAUGCAUUUGACAGCUAACUGCAGACGAUAACGCCAACUUUCUCUUGUGGUUCUCAGAGGAUGGAGAAGUUACAAGCCUGCAAUUGCCCCAUAAAGAGAAAAUAUUCCCUUUGGUCUGUGAAUGGUUCUGAAAUAAACGGCAGGAUAUGUUACAUGGCCGCGAAGAUGUUAAGGCUUUAAAAUGGAUGGCGGGCUCUGACAUCAUCUGAAUGAGAAGGAAAUAUGGCCUAACCAAGGGGUGUUUUCAGAAUGAAUAAAAUUUCAAAGUGGAAAUUCUUGCUUGAGAGGCAAGAGGAGAACACAUUUUUGCAUCAAUAGCCAUGGCUGAAGCAAUAGACUAGACCAGUGGGUCAAACAGGCAUUUUAGCUCAGACCUCUCCCUUUUACAAUGAUGUAUUUCAGAGACCUUCCACCGAGACAGCGUUCUCACAAACGUCUCAGACAAUGAGGGCAUGUCAGCUGAGGGAUUGUACAUGUAGGCAAAGACCAGAUUUGUGGGUUUGGCGCCCACCUGCGUCAAAUCAUGUAGUGGAGACAAAGUGUGGCUACCUGCUCUCCAGCUUCUAGUUUUGAGAAAUCUGUUUUGCUCCUUUGUGAGUUUCCACCAUACUACAUCAAGCUGAAAACGGAGAAAGAUAGAUCAAUAUGUCUUGAGAAAUAUGCCAACAAGGCAAGCGACUUCAAAAUCGACCUACUGAUUAUAUUGCCUUGGCAUGACUUUCUAUCUGGUAUAAUAGUGCCAAAACGUUCUUUGGUAAAUGUUAAAGUUUUUUCUUUCCACAGUCCUCCUCAUCAAAUAGGAAACCUACUUAAAAUUAAGAAUCAAAUUCUAUUAAUGUUUCCCCUUUGAUAAAAGCCUCAGGCCUUGACUCCAUGCCUUGAUAGAAAGAAAAAUGCAAUCCCGGACUUUUGGACAUAGAUCCAUAUGAGUAGGGAGAUGAGAAUGAAAGGGGAAAAGAUGGAAACCGCCAUGGAUAUUCUCGUUAGCCAGGAGGAGGUGCGGGAAUACCUUCAUUAUUAGAAGUAAAAAUAUUUUAAACUAAUGUACAAGUUUUUAAGUGACACCCAUCUCCUUCUGCACCCCUGUGUCCCGGAAAUGUCUCGUAUCCUCUCUGCAGGUCUAGUCACCUUGGCCUGGUUCAGCUACUGAGCAAUCUUACUUCUAUAAACAUUUCACUGCUACCAGUUGGAUUUUUCACAGCAUUAACUUUAACUACAUGGGUGUUUGUAAUGGAAUAAAAUUUUA
ensembl:lncRNA